rnacentral:rRNA from 1 species
CCCUUAGAUGUUCUGGGCUGCACGCGCGCUACACUGACGCACGCAACAGGUGCCUGCUCCGAGAGGACUGGGUAAUCAUUUGAGUGUGCGUCGUGAUGGGGAUAGAAUAUUGUAAUUAUUACUCUUCAACGAGGAAUUCCUAGUAAGCGCAAGUCAGCAGCUUGCGCUGAUUACGUCCCUGCCCUUUGUACACACCGCCCGUCGCUCCUACCGAUGGGUGAUCCGGUGAAUGAUUCGGACUUCAGCGGCUCCUCUGGGGUGCGCCGGAGAAAGUUUUGUGAACCUUAUCGCUUGGAGGAAGGAGAAGUCGUAACA